rnacentral:lncRNA from 1 species
CCCAGCCAGGAAGAGUAUAAAAGACUUCAUUUCCCAUCAGUCCUGUUUUGCUUCCAUGGUGCCAUUUUUACCCCUGGGCUCAGCUGUAAAACCAGAGAUGAGGACGAGCGCUCGUUGGCGGUCCGUGACCUCAUUCCCGCUUUUCUCCCGGUGAAGGGCUGUCUGGCGAACAGCUCGAGCGGAACAAGUCGCACACGGGGUUGGGGUGCCCUGUGACAGACUGACAUUGCAUCCUGGAUGUGUCCACUCCCCCUCCAGCCUUAAGCCCUGUGUUGCCGGGUUAGGCUCCCGCUCCCUGCGACAAGUGGUUCAGAUGUGUGUCCG